rnacentral:rRNA from 1 species
GACGUAGGGUCCAAGCGUUGUCCGGAUUUACUGGGCGUAGAGAGCGCGUAGGCGGUCCGUUAAGUGUGAAGUGAAAUCUCCAGAGCUCAACUCGGAAACUGCUUCGCAUACUGGCGGACUUGAGGAAUGCAGAGGUGAAUAGAAUUCCUGGUGUAGCGGUGAAAUGCGUAGAUAUCAGGAGGAAUACCCAUGGCGAAGGCAGUUCACUGGGCAUUAUCUGACGCUGAGGCGCGAAAGCGUGGGGAGCAAACAGG